CGGCAGCGGUAUCCGGAAUUAUUGGGCGUAAGAGCUCGUAGGCGGUUUGUCGCGUCUGCUGUGAAAGACCGGGGCUCAACUCCGGUUCUGCAGUGGGUACGGGCAGACUAGAGUGAUGUAGGGGAGACUGGAAUUCCUGGUGUAGCGGUGAAAUGCGCAGAUAUCAGGAGGAACACCGAUGGCGAAGGCAGGUCUCUGGGCAUUAACUGACGCUGAGGAGCGAAAGCAUGGGGAGCGAACAGGAUUAGAUACCCUGGUAGUCCAUGCCGUAAACGUUGGGCACUAGGUGUGGGGGACAUUCCACGUUUUCCGCGCCGUAGCUAACGCAUUAAGUGCCCCGCCUGGGGAGUACGGCCGCAAGGCUAAAACUCAAAGGAAUUGACGGGGGCCCGCACAAGCGGCGGAGCAUGCGGAUUAAUUCGAUGCAACGCGAAGAACCUUACCAAGGCUUGACAUGGGCCGGACCGGGCUGGAAACAGUCCUUCCCCUUUGGGGCCGGUUCACAGGUGGUGCAUGGUUGUCGUCAGCUCGUGUCGUGAGAUGUUGGGUUAAGUCCCGCAACGAGCGCAACCCUCGUUCCAUGUUGCCAGCGCGUAAUGGCGGGGACUCAUGGGAGACUGCCGGGGUCAACUCGGAGGAAGGUGGGGACGACGUCAAAUCAUCAUGCCCCUUAUGUCUUGGGCUUCACGCAUGCUACAAUGGCCGGUACAAAGGGUUGCGAUACUGUGAGGUGGAGCUAAUCCCAAAAAGCCGGUCUCAGUUCGGAUUGGGGUCUGCAACUCGACCCCAUGAAAGUCGGAGUCGCUAGUAAUCGCAGAUCAGCAACGCUGCGGUGAAUACGUUCCCGGGGCCUUGUACACACCGCCCGUCAAGUCACGAAAGUUGGUAACACCCGAAGCCGGUGGCCUAACCCCUUGUGGGAGGGAGCUGUCGAAGGUGGGACUGGCGAUUGGGACUAAGUCGUAACAAGGUAACC
rnacentral:rRNA from 1 species